rnacentral:lncRNA from 1 species
UUGGUUCAGAAACAGAAGAGGUUCAAAGUGAAAAGUGUCAGAAAACAUGUGUUUGUCACGCUGACGUUUUAGAUUCAAACCCUUUUCAAACAGCUGCUAUGUCGUUUUAUUUACUUGCUCAAACAGCGUAGAUGGUUCUGAAGUGAGUUUCAGUCAUUACAAAAUGAAAAUCAGUGUGAAACAAUGAGAAGACGCAGGAAAUCAAAGUGAGAAGUUGCGUGUUUCCACACACAGGAAGCUGAAUCUGGUGCCUGAGAAGCAGCGGUUCAGAAGGAGAGACAUCGAUGGAUCAGACGUUUCUGUUAAUGAUCCUGAUGCUUCGGUUCACAGCCUCUGGACGACUUUCCUCCUUCACUGUCGCAGUCAGAGACGACGUGACUUUGUCUUGUGAAAACGCCAGCGCUGAUCAGGACCAAUGUCAGAACACGACGUGGCUCCUCCAGGAUCCAGGAAGCAGCAGGACAGACGCUGUGGUGGAACGUGGACGGACUGAAGCGUCCACAGCCCACAGACGGAGGCUGACGGAGAAGUGCUCUCUGCUCAUAGAGAAGGUCACAGUUCAGGAUGUGGGUCGUUACACGUGCACACGAGGAGCAGGAGCCUCUGAGGUUUAUCUGUCUGUUGUUCACAUGGAUGAGUAUGAAGCUGCUGAUGAGGUCUACGUCUACUGUUACGUGUCCACACACAAACACUGUGAGCCGUCAGUGAAGUGGCUUCAUCACAGUCAAGUGUUUACGAGUCACAGAGACGUGAAGGCGUCACACACUCUCUACUACGCUGUCGUGUCUCUUCUGGAUUCUCACCGUGUUCACGCAUCAGUCAUGAACUCGUUAACGUGUGAAGUCACUGAUUGUUUCACUAACGUUCAUCGGUUUCCAUUCAGACCUCCGGCCUCAGAUGAAAAUGUAACAUUCAAAGAGACAACAAUUGAAGACACAUCAAUUCAAAACACAACAUCAGCAUCAGACACAACAUUAGAAGAUAACGGUUGGUGGAGGAUCAUCAUCGUCUCUGUGGCCUUAACGACACUCAUAGUUAUUGUUGUUGUGGUCAACGUUUGGACCAGAACCAAAGGUGAGAACAUUUAAUAAUCGACAUUUAAAUAAUUUCACAUUUUCACUGACGUCGACUGUUUUGUCUUGACAGGAAAUAAAAGAGUGAGAGAUGAAAACA